CACACGACUCUCGGCAACGGAUAUCUCGGCUCUCGCAUCGAUGAAGAACGUAGCGAAAUGCGAUACCUGGUGUGAAUUGCAGAAUCCCGCGAAUCAUCGAGUCUUUGAACGCAAGUUGCGCCCGAGGCCACUCGGUCGAGGGCACGCCUGCCUGGGCGUCACGC
rnacentral:rRNA from 1 species